rnacentral:lncRNA from 1 species
UUUGAUUGAUGGAAGGAUGAAAGAAGAAGAAGAUGAUGAUGAUGAAGAGAGGGUUUUAUGGAUGGCAGCCAAGUUAAGAAAAUGGAUGAUGGAUGCAAGAAAGAUAUAAGGAAAACAACUAGAUCUUGACUGAAAGAGUCUCACCUUCACUCAAGAACCCAGAGUUGGUAUGAAAAAGGAGGAGUCUCACCUUUCUAGUUUCUACCGAUGAAGAAGCUCGGCGUCUCACUAAGGAUUUUCAAGGCGUCUCACUUAGAAAGAAUGAACCUUGGAGUCUUACCAAGGGAGGAAGAAGAAGCCUCUCACCUCUCAAUCUCAAGAGCAAUUGAAAAGCCAAAAUAAUUCUCCGAUUUUAUUCUUCAACAUCUUCUUUAUAUAGAGUAAGAAGUUGAAAAAAUAUAGACUCUUACAACCAGAAUUUUAGAACUCCAACUAAACAAGGACUCUUUUAAAUCAAAUCAACUGACGAAAUCAACUGAUGAAGUCAACUGACGAAAUCAACUGAAAAAAUCAACUGACGAAAUCAAUUGAUGAAGUCAAUUGACGAAAUCUACUAAACCAACUAAGACUCUCAAAUAACUACGACUCUUUAAAGACACAUAGACCAAAAGUUCAAAUAAGCUAGGACUCUUUCAAACGACAUAUGGACUCAAUAAACAAGACUCCAAACAAUCUAGGACUCUUGGACUUCAAAAUAAACUAAGACUUCUAGGACAACUCGACUUUAACCAAGUCAAUUCCUCUUCUCACGCUUACAUGACGUGGACGCUUUGAUGCCACUUGGCAUUCAAUUACAUGGACAUAAUUAUCAAACACAAA